rnacentral:rRNA from 1 species
UACGGGGGGAGCAAGCGUUGUUCGGAUUUACUGGGCGUAAAGGGCGCGUAGGCGGCCACCGCAAGUCGACUGUGAAAUCUCCGGGCUUAACCCGGAAAGGUCAGCCGAUACUGCGGGGCUAGAGUGCAGAAGGGGCAACUGGAAUUCUCGGUGUAGCGGUGAAAUGCGUAGAUAUCGAGAGGAACGCCUGCGGCGAAGGCGGGUUGCUGGGCUGACACUGACGCUGAGGCGCGAAAGCUAGGGGAGCGAACGGG